UCCAUGGUGUAGCAAUACACCGGAAGAUUUAGUGGCGAACGGGUGAGGAUCACGUGAGAAACCUGCCCCAGACUUUGGGAUAACAGUUGGAAACGACUGCUAAUACCGAAUGACGUCGGAGAACCACAUGGUUCACUGACGAAGGAAUCCGGUUUGGGAGGGUCUCGCGGCCUAUCAGCUUGUUGGUGGGGUAAUGGCCUACCAAGGCAACGACGGGUAGCUGGGUCUGGAGAGGAUGAUCAGCCACACUGGGACUGAGACACGGCCCAGACUCC
rnacentral:rRNA from 1 species